CACAUGCUGUGAGCUCGAUGAGUAGGGCGGGACACGUGGUAUCCUGUCUGAAUAUGGGGGGACCAUCCUCCAAGGCUAAAUACUCCUGACUGACCGAUAGUGAACCAGUACCGUGAGGGAAAGGCGAAAAGAACCCCGGCGAGGGGAGUGAAAAAGAACCUGAAACCGUGUACGUACAAGCAGUGGGAGCACGCUUAGGCGUGUGACUGCGUACCUUUUGUAUAAUGGGUCAGCGACUUAUAUUCUGUAGCAAGGUUAACCGAAUAGGGGAGCCGAAGGGAAACCGAGUCUUAACUGGGCGUUAAGUUGCAGGGUAUAGACCCGAAACCCGGUGAUCUAGCCAUGGGCAGGUUGAAGGUUGGGUAACACUAACUGGAGGACCGAACCGACUAAUGUUGAAAAAUUAGCGGAUGACUUGUGGCUGGGGGUGAAAGGCCAAUCAAACCGGGAGAUAGCUGGUUCUCCCCGAAAGCUAUUUAGGUAGCGCCUCGUGAAUUCAUCUCCGGGGGUAGAGCACUGUUUCGGCAAGGGGGUCAUCCCGACUUACCAACCCGAUGCAAACUGCGAAUACCGGAGAAUGUUAUCACGGGAGACACACGGCGGGUGCUAACGUCCGUCGUGAAGAGGGAAACAACCCAGACCGCCAGCUAAGGUCCCAAAGUCAUGGUUAAGUGGGAAACGAUGUGGGAAGGCCCAGACAGCCAGGAUGUUGGCUUAGAAGCAGCCAUCAUUUAAAGAAAGCGUAAUAGCUCACUGGUCGAGUCGGCCUGCGCGGAAGAUGNUUUAAAGAAAGCGUAAUAGCUCACUGGUCGAGUCGGCCUGCGCGGAAGAUGUAACGGGGCUAAACCAUGCACCGAAGCUGCGGCAGCGACGCUUAUGCGUUGUUGGGUAGGGGAGCGUUCUGUAAGCCUGUGAAGGUGUACUGUGAGGUNGUAACGGGGCUAAACCAUGCACCGAAGCUGCGGCAGCGACGCUUAUGCGUUGUUGGGUAGGGGAGCGUUCUGUAAGCCUGCGAAGGUGUGCUGUGAGGCAUGCUGGAGGUAUCAGAAGUGCGAAUGCUGACAUAAGUAACGAUAAAGCGGGUGAAAAGCCCGCUCGCCGGAAGACCAAGGGUUCCUGUCCAACGUUAAUCGGGGCAGGGUGAGUCGACCCCUAAGGCGAGGCCGAAAGGCGUAGUCGAUGGGAAACAGGUUAAUAUUCCUGUACUUGGUGUUACUGCGAAGGGGGGACGGAGAAGGCUAUGUUGGCCGGGCGACGGUUGUCCCGGUUUAAGCGUGUAGGCUGGUUUUCCAGGCAAAUCCGGAAAAUCAAGGCUGAGGCGUGAUGACGAGGCACUACGGUGCUGAAGCAACAAAUGCCCUGCUUCCAGGAAAAGCCUCUAAGCAUCAGGUAACAUCAAAUCGUACCCCAAACCGACACAGGUGGUCAGGUAGAGAAUACCAAGGCGCUUGAGAGAACUCGGGUGAAGGAACUAGGCAAAAUGGUGCCGUAACUUCGGGAGAAGGCACGCUGAUAUGUAGGUGAAGUCCCUCGCGGAUGGAGCUGAAAUCAGUCGAAGAUACCAGCUGGCUGCAACUGUUUAUUAAAAACACAGCACUGUGCAAACACGAAAGUGGACGUAUACGGUGUGACGCCUGCCCGGUGCCGGAAGGUUAAUUGAUGGGGUUAGCGCAAGCGAAGCUCUUGAUCGAAGCCCCGGUAAACGGCGGCCGUAACUAUAACGGUCCUAAGGUAGCGAAAUUCCUUGUCGGGUAAGUUCCGACCUGCACGAAUGGCGUAAUGAUGGCCAGGCUGUCUCCACCCGAGACUCAGUGAAAUUGAACUCGCUGUGAAGAUGCAGUGUACCCGCGGCAAGACGGAAAGACCCCGUGAACCUUUACUAUAGCUUGACACUGAACAUUGAGCCUUGAUGUGUAGGAUAGGUGGGAGGCUUUGAAGUGUGGACGCCAGUCUGCAUGGAGCCGACCUUGAAAUACCACCCUUUAAUGUUUGAUGUUCUAACGUGGACCCGUANUGAAAUACCACCCUUUAAUGUUUGAUGUUCUAACGUUGACCCGUGAUCCGGGUUGCGGACAGUGUCUGGUGGGUAGUUUGACUGGGGCGGUCUCCUCCUAAAGAGUAACGGAGGAGCACGAAGGUUGGCUAAUCCUGGUCGGACAUCAGGAGGUUAGUGCAAUGGCAUAAGCCAGCUUGACUGCGAGCGUGACGGCGCGAGCAGGUGCGAAAGCAGGUCAUAGUGAUCCGGUGGUUCUGAAUGGAAGGGCCAUCGCUCAACGGAUAAAAGGUACUCCGGGGAUAACAGGCUGAUACCGCCCAAGAGUUCAUAUCGACGGCGGUGUUUGGCACCUCGAUGUCGGCUCAUCACAUCCUGGGGCUGAAGUAGGUCCCAAGGGUAUGGCUGUUCGCCAUUUAAAGUGGUACGCGAGCUGGGUUUAGAACGUCGUGAGACAGUUCGGUCCCUAUCUGCCGUGGGCGCUGGAGAACUGAGGGGGGCUGCUCCUAGUACGAGAGGACCGGAGUGGACGCAUCACUGGUGUUCGGGUUGUCAUGCCAAUGGCACUGCCCGGUAGCUAAAUGCGGAAGAGAUAAGUGCUGAAAGCAUCUAAGCACGAAACUUGCCCCGAGAUGAGUUCUCCCUGACUCCUUGA
rnacentral:rRNA from 1 species